CUCCGCGAGUAUACCAACACUAAUGCACCGGAUCCCAUCAAAACUCCGCAGCUAAGCGUGCUUGGACAAGAGUAGUACUAGGAUUAGUGACCUCCCGAAAAGUCUUCGUGCUGCAC
rnacentral:rRNA from 1 species